UGUUUAUAUAAAUACUUAUAAAUAAAAUCUGCUCAAUGUGUAAUAAAUAGCCGCAAUUAUUAUUGUGCUAAGGUAGCAUAAUCAUUUGCCUUUUAAUUAAGGGCUAGAAUGAAUGAUUUUACACUUUAAUAUAUUUUUUUGUUUAAAAAUUUUAAAUUUAAUUAAAUAUAAAAAUGUAUUUAUUUUUUAAAAAGACGAUAAGACCCUAUUGAACUUUACUUAAGUUAAGCUGGGGAAGCUAAUUAAUUAUUAUUUUAAUUUUUAUCUAAACAAAAAUUUCCAAUAAAAUUGAUUCUAGCAAGUUACCAUAGGGAUAACAGCGUAAUAUUUUUCAAAAGUUCUUAUUUAAAAAAAAGUUUGCGACCUCGAUGUUGAAUUAAUUUAUCUUAAAAACGUAAUAGUUUUUAAAGUAGGUCUGUUCGACCUUUAAAAAAUUACA
rnacentral:rRNA from 1 species